rnacentral:rRNA from 1 species
CCUACGGGGCGCAGCAGUGAGGAAUAUUGGUCAAUGGGCGCGAGCCUGAACCAGCCAAGUCGCGUGAGGGAAGACGGUCCUAUGGAUUGUAAACCUCUUUUGUCGGGGAGCAAGGGGCGGGUCGAGACCUGCUGUGGGAGUACCUGAAGAAAAAGCAUCGGCUAACUCCGUGCCAGCAGCCGCGGUAAUACGGAGGAUGCGAGCGUUAUCCGGAUUUAUUGGGUUUAAAGGG